rnacentral:miRNA from 10 species
GAGUCUCUAGCGGCUGAUUGUCCAAACGCAAUUCUUGAGUCACGUCAAAACUCAACCGCAAGAAUUGUGUAUGGACAUCUGUUGCUGCGGACUCC